AACCCUUGACAUCCCUAUCGCGAUUUACAGAGAUGGAUUUCAUCAGUUCGUCUGGAUAGGAGAC
rnacentral:rRNA from 1 species